rnacentral:misc_RNA from 1 species
CAGAGUUUUCUAACUCCCAAACCCAUGUGAACUUACCAUUGUUGCCUCGGCGGAGCCUACCCUGUAGCUACCCUGUAGGGUGGUUACCCUGUAGCGCCCCGCCGGCGGAUUUUCAAACUCUUGUUAUUUUAUGUAAUCUGAGUACUAUAUAAUAGUUA